rnacentral:rRNA from 1 species
CACGUAGGCGGCUUGGCAAGUCGGAUGUGAAAUCCCUCGGCUCAACCAAGGAAGUGCAUCCGAAACUGCCGAGCUUGAGUACUUAAGAGGAUCGCGGAAUUCCCGGUGUAGAGGUGAAAUUCGUAGAUAUCGGGAGGAACACCAGUGGCGAAGGCGGCGAUCUGGGAAGAUACUGACGCUGAGGUGCGAAAGCGUGGGGAGCAAACA